rnacentral:rRNA from 1 species
GACGAACGCUGGCGGCGUGCUUAACACAUGCAAGUCGAACGAUGAACCCGGAGCUUGCUCUGGGGGAUUAGUGGCGAACGGGUGAGUAACACGUGAGUAACCUGCCCUGGACUCUGGGAUAAGCGUUGGAAACGACGUCUAAUACCGGAUAGGACCUUGGAUCGCAUGAUCUGGGGUGGAAAGUUUUUUCGGUCUGGGAUGGACUCGCGGCCUAUCAGCUUGUUGGUGAGGUAAUGGCUCACCAAGGCGUCGACGGGUAGCCGGCCUGAGAGGGUGACCGGCAAACCUGGAACGGAAACACGGCCCAAACUGCAACGGGGGGGAGGGGGGGGGAAGAUGGAAAAAGGGGGGAAAGGCGGAGGAAGAAGCGCCCGGGGGGGGAUGACGGCUUUGGGGUUGAAAACCGGUGUUAGGGGGGAAGAAGGGCUGGGGGUGGAAGGGACCGGAAGAAAAAGGGCGGGGGAACGAAG